UGGAUCGGGAGCUCCAAACAUUCUACACAGGCUUCAUAGGGCAAUCAAUUUAUCACAUGCCUGGUAAAGCGGUGCCAAGGCUUUUAACUGCAACACAAAACGUGGUCCGUGCUGCUAACAGGGGGAGAGCAUGAAGAUUGAUGGCCAGAUGAAGGUCUAUUAUGACUAACCCCACUUGGUGGUUUUCAGACGGUGCCGCCGGGCUGCUUUAAGGGUGCCAGUGGUGCUGGUGUAGCAGCGUGACCCUGCCAGUAAGAGUGACAGGGAAGACUUGAGUGGCACAGCUACGUACUGAGGAUGCUUUGUGGAGUCUGAUCUGCAUUGUGUUGAUCUGCAGUCAACAGACAGUGGCCCGGCUCUGGCAGUAUUCCACACUAACGAAUACCAGCUUUAACUGUGGAGAACAGAUAGUCUCCACUCUUAUUCUGAGUAAUGUCUGCCUCUUGUUCAUUUGGGCGGCGCAUGAAAAGUUUUCAGACACCGGGGCCAUGCCAGAGGUGACAUCACACCAUAUUUUCUCCUCCUAUGUGGCAGACUGCAGCAGGAUGUCAAGGAGGGUGACAUGACAAAACCACCUCUGCUCACCAACAUUCUCUAACAGAAGAGGGCUUCAAGGAGAGGGCGGUCAAAGUCAGACAGGGAUGGGCCUGAAAGAGACGUAUUGUGAGGUCACAUUCUUCCCAAAUGCAGGCAGGAGCCAAGUCAGUAGCUGGCGGAAUUACCCCCAUGAAUCAUGCCUAUUGUGAUGCCUACCCAGAAUGAGAACAUGGAAAGGAAUUAGGUAUGGCAGAGCCUUAUCAGCUUCCCAUUUGGAACCAGUAGUUCGCUUGGUUCGAGCAGCCGGACAGCAUUUCCCAUCCUUGCUCAUGUAGAGUGUCCGCGAAUGUGGAAUUCCUCCACUGCCAUGUGUUGUUACUUAAGGGUGCGCUGCAGCCAAGUUACUGCGCACUUUUCCAUCCACGCCCGUCCUCCUGUCUGUGCACUUCCUUCCCUCCCAUUUACCCAGAGAUCUUUGUGGUAGGUCCUGGAGUUCAGGCAAUAUUAGGUUGCACCUCUUAAAACAUGUCAGGCUUUGUGGUGAAAAUUAAAGAAUGGAAAAAUGA